rnacentral:tRNA from 5 species
GGUGAGGUGGCAGAGCCCGGCUAUGCACACGACUGCAGAUCGUGACCACGGGAGUUCGAAUCUCUCCCUCACCACCA